GGCCGGUUAGCUCAGUUGGUUAGAGCGUCGUGCUAAUAACGCGAAUGUCGUGUGUUCGAUCCCCAUUCUGGCUA
rnacentral:tRNA from 1 species